rnacentral:rRNA from 1 species
GACGAACGCUGGCGGCGUGCUUAACACAUGCAAGUCGAACGGAAAGGCCCUGCUUUUGUGGGGUGCUCGAGUGGCGAACGGGUGAGUAACACGUGAGUAACCUGCCCUUGACUUUGGGAUAACUUCAGGAAACUGGGGCUAAUACCGGAUAGGAGCUCCUGCUGCAUGGUGGGGGUUGGAAAGUUUCGGCGGUUGGGGAUGGACUCGCGGCUUAUCAGCUUGUUGGUGGGGUAGUGGCUUACCAAGGCUUCGACGGGUAGCCGGCCUGAGAGGGUGACCGGCCACAUUGGGACUGAGAGACGGCCCAGACUCCUACGGGAGGCAGCAGUGGGGAAUAUUGCACAAUGGGCGGAAGCCUGAUGCAGCAACGCCGCGUGCGGGAUGACGGCCUUCGGGUUGUAAACCGCUUUCGCCUGUGACGAAGCGUGAGUGACGGUAAUGGGUAAAGAAGCACCGGCUAACUACGUG